UGGUGGAGUGAUUUGUCUGGUUAAUUCCGUUAACGAACGAGACCCCUGCCUGCUAAAUAGUUAGUCUAGUGAUUUUUCACUGGAUGUAGCUUCUUAGAGGGACGUGCAUUUUUCAAAUGCAGGAAGAUAGGGGCAAUAACA
rnacentral:rRNA from 1 species